rnacentral:rRNA from 1 species
GACAUAGGUGGCGAACGUUAUCCGGAUUUAUUGGGCGUAAAGGAUGCGUAGAUGGUGGAAUAAGUUAUUGGUCAAAGUCAAGCUCAACUUGGCGGAAGCUGGUAAUACUAUUCUACUCGAGGAUAGGAGAGGUUGGCGGAAUUCUGUGUGGAGCGGUGAAAUGCGUUGAGAUCGGAAGGAACGCCCGUGGCGAAAGCGAGGUCCUGGACGCCAUCUGACGCUGAGACGCGAAAGCCAGGGGAGCGAACGGG